rnacentral:rRNA from 1 species
UACGUGAGGUGACAAGCGUUGUCCGGAUUUACUGGGCGUAAAGAGCGCGCAGGCGGUCGAUCAAGUCGAGUGUGAAAGCCCCCGGCUCAACUGGGGAGGGUCAUUCGAUACUGAUCGACUCGAAGGCAGGAGAGGGUAGUGGAAUUCCCGGUGUAGUGGUGAAAUUCGUAGAUAUUAGGGAAGAACACCGGUGGCGAAGGCGGCUCUCUGGACCGAGACUGACGCUGAGGCGCGAAAGCGUGGGGAGCAAACAGG